CCGGCACGGGUGAGUAACACGUAUGCAAUCCACCUGUAACAGGGGGAUAACCCGGAGAAAUCCGGACUAAUACCCCAUAAUAUGGGCGCUCCGCAUGGAGAGCCCAUUAAAGAGAGCAAUUUUGGUUACAGACGAGCAUGCGCUCCAUUAGCCAGUUGGCGGGGUAACGGCCCACCAAAGCGACGAUGGAUAGGGGUUCUGAGAGGAAGGUCCCCCACAUGGAACUGAGACACGGUCCAA
rnacentral:rRNA from 1 species